UCCGAGAUGCUGUAACGGUAACAUUACCGCCUCUCAUCGGGGAGUAUCACAAGAUUGACGCGGUAGCCCGGGGUUCGAUUCCCCGUCUCGGAA